AAACGUUUUUAUUAAUAUUCUGAUUUAUAUGAAUGGAUUAUGUAGGUAAAUCAUAGAUGAUCGUAUCGAAAAUAUUAUUCAUUUUCAAUUAUACCGUAAACAUUUUCAAAAUCAUCACCUAUUUUAAAUCAAUCGACCUUGAAACUGUUGACCUGUUUGCUUAAUCAACGAAUCGAUAAAAUAUUAUAAUGUUUUGCGUCUUUGUAACAUUGUUUUAAGAAAAUGUUUUUAUUUUCAAUAAGCAUACUUAUUUAAUACUUAUUUAAUUUGUAAUUUUUUCGAAUUUCGUGUAGUUUGUAUUCAUAAACUCCGUCUGGAUAAAACUGAAUUAAAAUAUCGUGUUUUGAAUACAUUGUGACAAUAUCUAUCUUUUAUUAUAAAUGGAAAUUAAAAAUCGUUGUUUUUU